GCCAGCGUGGUUUAGUGGUUUGAGUGUUAGACUAUGACUCUGAGCAGCAGGGUUCGAAGCCCCACAUGGCCA